GACGAACGCUGUUCGGCGUGCCUAAUACAUGCAAGUAGAACGCUGAAGAGAGGAGCUUGCUCUUCUUGGAUGAGUUGCGAACGGGUGAGUAACGCGUAGGUAACCUGCCUUGUAGCGGGGGAUAACUAUUGGAAACGAUAGCUAAUACCGCAUAACAAUGGAUGACACAUGUCAUUUAUUUGAAAGGGGCAAUUGCUCCACUACAAGAUGGACCUGCGUUGUAUUAGCUAGUAGGUGAGGUAAUGGCUCACCUAGGCGACGAUACAUAGCCGACCUGAGAGGGUGAUCGGCCACACUGGGACUGAGACACGGCCCAGACUCCUACGGGAGGCAGCAGUAGGGAAUCUUCGGCAAUGGGGGCAACCCUGACCGAGCAACGCCGCGUGAGUGAAGAAGGUUUUCGGAUCGUAAAGCUCUGUUGUAAGUCAAGAACGGGUGUGAGAGUGGAAAGUUCACACUGUGACGGUAGCUUACCAGAAAGGGACGGCUAACUACGUGCCAGCAGCCGCGGUAAUACGUAGGUCCCGAGCGUUGUCCGGAUUUAUUGGGCGUAAAGCGAGCGCAGGCGGUUUGAUAAGUCUGAAGUUAAAGGCUGUGGCUCAACCAUAGUUCGCUUUGGAAACUGUCAAACUUGAGUGCAGAAGGGGAGAGUGGAAUUCCAUGUGUAGCGGUGAAAUGCGUAGAUAUAUGGAGGAACACCGGUGGCGAAAGCGGCUCUCUGGUCUGUAACUGACGCUGAGGCUCGAAAGCGUGGGGAGCGAACAGGAUUAGAUACCCUGGUAGUCCACGCCGUAAACGAUGAGUGCUAGGUGUUGGAUCCUUUCCGGGAUUCAGUGCCGCAGCUAACGCAUUAAGCACUCCGCCUGGGGAGUACGACCGCAAGGUUGAAACUCAAAGGAAUUGACGGGGGCCCGCACAAGCGGUGGAGCAUGUGGUUUAAUUCGAAGCAACGCGAAGAACCUUACCAGGUCUUGACAUCCCGAUGCUAUUUCUAGAGAUAGAAAGUUACUUCGGUACAUCGGUGACAGGUGGUGCAUGGUUGUCGUCAGCUCGUGUCGUGAGAUGUUGGGUUAAGUCCCGCAACGAGCGCAACCCCUAUUGUUAGUUGCCAUCAUUCAGUUGGGCACUCUAGCGAGACUGCCGGUAAUAAACCGGAGGAAGGUGGGGAUGACGUCAAAUCAUCAUGCCCCUUAUGACCUGGGCUACACACGUGCUACAAUGGUUGGUACAACGAGUUGCGAGUCGGUGACGGCGAGCCAAUCUCUUAAAGCCAAUCUCAGUUCGGAUUGUAGGCUGCAACUCGCCUACAUGAAGUCGGAAUCGCUAGUAAUCGCGGAUCAGCACGCCGCGGUGAAUACGUUCCCGGGCAU
rnacentral:rRNA from 1 species